GCUGGGCAUGGUGGCACACACCUGUAAUCCCUGCGACUGGGGAGGCUGAGGCAGGAGGAUUGUGAGUUCAAAGCCAGACUCAGCAACUUAGUGAGGCCUUAAGCAACUUGGUGAGACCCUGUCUCAA
rnacentral:sRNA from 1 species